rnacentral:lncRNA from 1 species
UCGCACCAUAUGCAGAUAACUAAUCCAUCCCUAGAAUGACAUCAAAAUCUGUCAAGUCUAGAACCACAAGGUCAGCUAGAAGGCAUCUACCCUCUAUGAACACUGGACUGAAACGACAGACGGACGCUGCCACUGAUGGGUCACACUUGGGUCCACUGACCCAAAGAGGAUACUCUAACUCAGAAAUCAUCAAACCCAAC